rnacentral:tRNA from 1 species
CCCCCUGUGGCUCAGUUGGUAGAGCAUGGUGUUUGCAACGCCAGGGUUGUGGGUUUGAUUCCCACGGGGGGC